CAAUAGCGUAUAUUAAAGUUGUUGCGGUAAAAAAGCUCGUAGUUGGAUUUCGGGUGGGAAUGGCCGGUCCGCCGUUUCGGUGUGCACUUGCUACGCCCACCUUGCUGCCGGGGACGUGCUCUUGAGUUCACGCUCGGGACACGGAGUCGGCGAGGUUACUUUGAGUAAAUUAGAGUGUUCAAAGCAGGCCUACGCUCUGAAUACAUUAGCAUGGAAUAACACGAUAGGACUCUGGCCUAUCUUGUUGGUCUGUAGGACCGGAGUAAUGAUUAAGAGGGACAGUCGGGGGCAUUCGUAUUUCAUUGUCAGAGGUGAAAUUCUUGGAUUUAUGAAAGACGAACUACUGCGAAAGCAUUUGCCAAGGAUGUUUUCAUUAA
rnacentral:rRNA from 1 species